AGAUGUGAGGACAAUUUGGCUGCAACAUCUGUCAGCCUAUUGAUCACCAGGAUCAUUUAGCUGAUCUGACUGGCUAGAUGGGUGUCUACUUCCUCCCUCCCUGUUCCAUCUGUGUCAUUCCCAAAGCUGCACAGUCUGUCCAAGAGAACAACUUUCCCCAAAUAUAGGAGAACCAUUCUUUGAUCAAGGGUAUAGGAGUAACUGUGCUGCACCACUAGAUCCUCCAAACAAGCUCUCAAAAAGUGACAGUUGAGCUGAAAUGUGAACAAUAAUGAUCAAUUAAGUAGAGU
rnacentral:snRNA from 1 species